CCUACGGGUGGCAGCAGUGGGGGAUAUUGCACAAUGGGGGAAACCCUGAUGCAGCGACGCCGCGUGGGCGAAGAAGUAUUUCGGUAUGUAAAGCCCUAUCAGCAGGGAAGAAGAAAUGACGGUACCUGAGUAAGAAGCACCGGCUAAAUACGUGCCAGCAGCCGCGGUAAUACGUAUGGUGCAAGCGUUAUCCGGAUUUACUGGGUGUAAAGGGAGCGCAGGCGGCAGUGCAAGUCUGGAGUGAAAGGCGGGGGCUCAACCCCCGGACUGCUCUGGAAACUGUACGGCUGGAGUGCAGGAGAGGUAAGUGGAAUUCCUAGUGUAGCGGUGAAAUGCGUAGAUAUUAGGAGGAACACCAGUGGCGAAGGCGGCUUACUGGACUGUAACUGACGUUGAGGCUCGAAAGCGUGGGGAGCAAACAGGAUUAGAUACCCUAGUAGUC
rnacentral:rRNA from 1 species